rfam:TPA: Bos taurus chromosome 8, whole genome shotgun sequence.
UCUCUUCUGGCUCAGCUGGUAAAGAAUCUGCCUGCAAAGUGGGAGACCUGGGUUCGAUCCCUAGGUUGGGAA